AUGCUUGUGUCAAAGAUUAAGCCAUGCAUGUCUAAGUAUAAACAACAAUACAGUGAAACUGCGAAUGGCUCAUUAUAUCAGUCAUCAUUGACUUGAUUGUACCUUAUACCACUUGGAUACCCGUGGUAACUCUAUGGCUAAUACAUGCACACACACGGCCCAGCUCCUUCAGUGGAAGGGCCAGCAUUUAUUAGAUUUAAAGCCGAUACGCCCUCGGGCGGCACUGGUGAUUCAUAAUAACUGAGCGAAUCGUAGCAAUACGAUGGGUCAAUCAAAUCUCUGCCCUAUCAACUGUCGAUGGUACGGUAGUGGCCUACCAUGGUUGCAACGGGUAACGGGGAAUCAGGGUUUGAUUCCGGAGAGGGAGCCUGAGAAACGGCUACCACUUCUAAGGAAGGCAGCAGGCGCGCAAAUUACCCAAUGCUGAUUCAGCGAGGUAGUGACAAUAAAUAACAAGCCAGGGCCCAUUGGGUCUUGGUAUUGCAAUGAGUACAACGCAAACACCUUAACGAGGAACAAUUAGAGGGCAAGUCUGGUGCCAGCAGCCGCGGUAAUUCCAGCUCUAAUAGUGUAUAUUCACGUUGCUGCAGUUAAAACGCUCGUAGUCGGAGUGUGGGAGCUGGAGGGCAUGGGCCACGGCGCAAGCCGUGUGCCCGCAUGUGCCUUCCCCCCAAGCAUUCCUGGGAGUGGCUCGCCUCNUUCGGGGGGCGUUCCAGUGUCCAGGACGUUUACCUUGAAAAAAUUAGAGUGUUCAAAGCAGGCAUUUUGCUUGAAUAUAUUAGCAUGGAAUAAUGGAAUAGGACCCUGGGUCUUGUUUUGUUGGCUUUACUUGGCCGCGGGUAAUGAUUAAUAGGAGCAGUUGGGGGCAUUUGAACUGGGCGGUUAGAGGUGAAAUUCUUGGAUCCGCCCAAGUCAGACUAGUGCGAAAGCAUUUGCCCAGCAUGUGUCCGUUGAUCAAGAACGAAAGUUAGGGGAUCGAAGACGAUUAGAUACCGUCGUAGUCUUAACUAUAAACGAUGCCGACUGGGGAUGAGCCGCCUUUUCAGAGGCGGUUUGGACUCUGGGAGAAAUCAAAGUGUUUGGGUUCCGGGGGGAGUAUGGUCGCAAGGCUGAAACUUGAAGGAAUUGACGGAAGGGCACCACCAGAAAUGGAGCCUGCGGCUUAAUUUGACUCAACACGGGGAAACUCACCAGGUCCAGACAUAGCGAGGAUUGACAGAUUGAAAGCUCUUUCUUGAUUUUAUGGGUGGUGGUGCAUGGCCGUUCUUAGUUCGUGGAUUCUUCUGUCUGGUUAAUUCCGAUAACGAACGAGACCUUAUCCUGCUAAAUAGACGGGCGUGUCCCUGCGACACGGCUGCGCUUCUUAGAGGGACUGCUGGCGUCAAGCCAGCGGAAGUUUGAGGCAAUAACAGGUCUGUGAUGCCCUUAGAUGUUCUGGGCCGCACGCGCGCUACACUGAUGAGGCCAGCGAGUUGUGCUGCUUUCCAAGCAGCGGUCCUGGUCUGAGAAGACUGGGUAAUCUUGGCAACCCUCAUCGUGCUGGGGAUAGUCCUUUGCAAUUAUCGGACUUGAACGAGGAAUUUCUAGUAAUCGCCAGUCAUCAGCUGGCGAUGAUUACGUCCCUGCCCUUUGUACACACCGCCCGUCGCUACUACCGAUUGAAUGGCUUAGUGAGUCCUUUGGAUUUGCGCUGGCACGCCCUCACCGGCUGCCUUGGCGCGGAGAAGUCGGGCAAACUUGGUCAUUUAGAGGAAGUAAAAGUCGUAACAAGGUCAUCGUA
rnacentral:rRNA from 1 species